UGCAGCCAUGCCGCGUGUGUGAAGAAGGCCUUCGGGUUGUAAAGCACUUUCAGUAGGGAGGAAAGGUUGUAAGUUAAUACCUUGCAGCUGUGACGUUACCUACAGAAGAAGGACCGGCUAACUCCGUGCCAGCAGCCGCGGUAAUACGGAGGGUCCAAGCGUUAAUCGGAAUUACUGGGCGUAAAGCGUGCGCAGGCGGUUUGUUAAGCGAGAUGUGAAAGCCCCGGGCUCAACCUGGGAAUUGCAUUUCGAACUGGCAAACUAGAGUCUUGUAGAGGGGGGUAGAAUUCCAGGUGUAGCGGUGAAAUGCGUAGAGAUCUGGAGGAAUACCGGUGGCGAAGGCGGCCCCCUGGACAAAGACUGACGCUCAGGCACGAAAGCGUGGGGAGCAAACAGGAUUAGAUACCCUGGUAGUCCACGCCGUAAACGAUGUCUACUCGGAGUUUGGUGUCUUGAACACUGGGCUCUCAAGCUAACGCAUUAAGUAGACCGCCUGGGGAGUACGGCCGCAAGGUUAAAACUCAAAUGAAUUGACGGGGGCCCGCACAAGCGGUGGAGCAUGUGGUUUAAUUCGAUGCAACGCGAAGAACCUUACCUACUCUUGACAUCCAGAGAAUUCGCUAGAGAUAGCUUAGUGCCUUCGGGAACUCUGAGACAGGUGCUGCAUGGCUGUCGUCAGCUCGUGUUGUGAAAUGUUGGG
rnacentral:rRNA from 1 species